UAUUGUGUUGUGGUUAAUCUAUUAUCAUAAAAUUCGUAUCAUACCUAUUUAGCACUGCACUUGUAACGAAGAAGGUAUUAUAUUAGGUUUAAGUACAAAAAUGGAAAGUGGAAGUAGUGCCGACCACAGUAGCUCUGACAGUGAGAGUGUUGUAACACGCGUAACACCUAGUACAUCGACAAAAAAACGCAAGCGUAAUAAUUGUGAAAAUAUGGCUGAGGCUGAGAAUAUUACUGAAACUCCCAAUAUCUCCGAUGGUGACGAUGAUGAGAAUCUGCAAAACAUCCGAAAAAGAAUUGCAAAAAAUGCCAUUCUGGACGGGAAAUUUUUUGAGGUCAAACAAAUUAUAGAUUUUAACCAUAUUCUGACGAUUUGUAAAAGUUGCCAACCAAAAAUUAAAGAAAUAAAGGGUUCCGUAAUAACCACAACCAACUUCGUCAAACACUUAAGAACAACUCAUCAGAAUGCCUAUACAGAGUAUAUUAAAUAUAAAAAUGAAAAAAAAAAGAAACUGCUAAAAAGGAAAAUAAAUUAAAAAAUGCAAUAACUAGUUCUGCAGCUGAGCAGCAAACUACUUUGCAAAAAUAUUUUGCAAGACAACAAGGGCCAAAAACAAUAAAUAAAACAGAAUUCGAAAAUAGACUGAUUAGAUUUGUAAUUAACACCAUGAGUCCAUUAUCAAUAGUAGAAAAUCCAAGUUUUAGACAGUUAUUUGAUGGAUUUAAUCUUGAAUUGGUUAGCAGAAACACUUUGACUCGACGUAUCUCAGAACUAUUCAAAGAAAGGCAAGCAAAAUUAAAAUCCGAAUUAUUGAAUAUUCAAUAUGUUUGUACAACGGCUGACAUAUGGUCAGGAAAAAAAAGAAGUUUUAUUGGGGUUACCUGCCAUUGGAUAAAUGAAGACUUUAGCCGUCAAUCAGUGACCCUGGCCUGUCAGAGAUUUAAAGGUACUCAUUCAUACGAUCGAAUCGCUAGUAUUUUAGAAGAUAUACAUAUGAGAUACGGAUUAGACACAAAUAAAAUCGUUGCAACUGUCACC